rnacentral:snoRNA from 1 species
AUGCAUCGAAAAGGGACGGGCUUUCUGUGUGAAUUGUUCCGUAUAAUUUUGAUGCAAUAAAAUAGAGAAGUGCAGUGUUACUCUUCAUCACGUAUUCUGUGAACGGAGAGUGUCAAGCGCUUCCCACAAUA